UACAGAGGGUGCAAGCGUUGUUCGGAAUUAUUGGGCGUAAAGCGCACGCAGGCGGCUAGUCAAGUUCGACGUGAAAGCUCCCGGCUUAACUGGGAGAGGUCGUUGAAAACUGGUUAGCUUGAGGCAAUGAGAGGGGUGUAGAAUUCCCGGUGUAGUGGUGGAAUGCGUAGAUAUCGGGAGGAAUACCAGUGGCGAAAGCGGCACCCUAGCGUUGUUCUGACGCUCAUGUGCGAAAGCGUGGGGAGCGAACGGG
rnacentral:rRNA from 1 species